rnacentral:tRNA from 1 species
CAUUAGAUGGCUGAAAGUAAGCAAUGGAAUUUUAAACCAUUUAAUAGUAGAUUAACACCCACUUCUGAUG